rnacentral:rRNA from 1 species
GACGAACGCUGGCGGCGUGCUUAACACAUGCAAGUCGAACGGAAAGGCCCUGCUUGCAGGGUACUCGAGUGGCGAACGGGUGAGUAACACGUGGGUGAUCUGCCCUGCACUUCGGGAUAAGCCUGGGAAACUGGGUCUAAUACCGGAUAGGAGCCAUUUUUAGUGUGAUGGUUGGAAAGUUUUUCGGUGUAGGAUGAGCUCGCGGCCUAUCAGCUUGUUGGUGGGGUAAUGGCCUACCAAGGCGGCGACGGGUAGCCGGCCUGAGAGGGCGGACGGCCACAUUGGGACUGAGAUACGGCCCAGACUCCUACGGGAGGCAGCAGUGGGGAAUAUUGCACAAUGGGCGCAAGCCUGAUGCAGCGACGCCGCGUGGGGGAUGACGGCCUUCGGGUUGUAAACUCCUUUCGCUAGGGACGAAAGCUUUUGUGACGGUACCUAGAUAAGAAGCACCGGCUAACUACGUGCCAGCAGCCGCGGUAAUACCUAGGGUGCGAGCGUUGUCCGGAAUUACUGGGCGUAAGGGCUCGUAAGUGGUUUGUCGCGUCGUCUGUGAAAUUCCGGGGCUUAACUCCGGGCGUGCAGGCGAUACGGGCAUAACUUGAGUACUGUAGGGGUAACUGGAAUUCCCGGUGUAGCGGUGAAAUGCGCAGAUAUCAGGAGGAACACCGAUGGCGAAGGCAGGUUACUGGGCAGUUACUGACGCUGAGGAGCGAAAGCAUGGGUAGCGAACAGGAUUAGAUACCCUGGUAGUCCAUGCCGUAAACGGUGGGCGCUAGGUGUGAGGGUCUUUUCACGACUUUCGUGCCGUAGCUAACGCAUUAAGCGCCCCGCCUGGGGAGUACGGCCGCAAGGCUAAAACUCAAAGGAAUUGACGGGGGCCCGCACAAGCGGUGGAGCAUGCGGUUUAAUUCGAAGCAACGCGAAGAACCUUACCAAAUCUUGACAUCCUUUGACAACUCUAGAGAUAGAGCCUUCCCCUUCGGGGGACAAAGUGACAGGUGGUGCAUGGUUGUCGUCAGCUCGUGUCGUGAGAUGUUGGGUUAAGUCCCGCAACGAGCGCAACCCUUAAGCGUAGUUGCCAUCAUUAAGUUGGGCACUCUAAGUUGACUGCCGGUGACAAACCGGAGGAAGGUGGGGAUGACGUCAAAUCAUCAUGCCCCUUAUGAUUUGGGCUACACACGUGCUACAAUGGACAAUACAAAGGGCAGCGAAACCGCGAGGUCAAGCAAAUCCCAUAAAGUUGUUCUCAGUUCGGAUUGUAGUCUGCAACUCGACCACAUGAAGCUGGAAUCGCUAGUAAUCGUAGAUCAGCAUGCUACGGUGAAUACGUUCCCGGGUCU